UGGGGAAUAUUGGACAAUGGGCGCAAGCCUGAUCCAGCCAUGCCGCGUGAGUGAUGAAGGCCUUAGGGUUGUAAAGCUCUUUUAGCGGGGACGAUAAUGACGGUACCCGCAGAAAAAGUCCCGGCCAACUUCGUGCCAGCAGCCGCGGUAAUACGAAGGGGGCUAGCGUUGCUCGGAAUCACUGGGCGUAAAGCGCACGUAGGUGGGUCGCUGAGUCGGGGGUGAAAUCCUGGAGCUCAACUCCAGAACUGCCUUCGAUACUGGCGAUCUUCGAGUCCGGGAGAGGUGGGUGGAACUGCGAGUGUAGAGGUGAAAUUCGUAGAUAUUCGCAAGAACACCAGUGGCGAAGGCGGCUCACUGGCCCGGUACUGACACUGAGGUGCGAAAGCGUGGGGAGCAA
rnacentral:rRNA from 1 species